GGUAUAUAGCUCAGUUGAUAGAGUGCUUGCCUUGCAUGCACAGGUCCUGGGUGCGAUCCCAGCACCA
rnacentral:tRNA from 1 species